UCCGAGUUGACCCCGGCAGUCUCCUAUGAGUCCCCGACAUGACUCGCUGGCAACAUAGGACAGGGGUUGCGCUCGUUGCGGGACUUAACCCAACAUCUCACGAUACGAGCUGACGACAGCCAUGCACCACCUGCACACAGGCCACAAGGGAACACCCAUCUCUGGAUGCGUCCUGUGCAUGUCAAACCCAGGUAAGGUUCUUCGCGUUGCAUCGAAUUAAUCCACAUGCUCCGCCGCUUGUGCGGGCCCCCGUCAAUUCCUUUGAGUUUCAGUCUUGCGACCGUACUCCCCAGGCGGCGAACUUAACGCGUUAGCUUCGAUACUGCGUGCCAAAUUGCACCCAACAUCCAGUUCGCAUUGUUUAGGGCGUGGACUAC
rnacentral:misc_RNA from 1 species